rnacentral:rRNA from 1 species
UACGUAGGGGGCAAGCGUUGUCCGGAAUCAUUGGGCGUAAAGAGCGUGUAGGCGGUUCGGUAAGUCCGUCGUGAAAGUCCAGGGCUCAACCCUGGAAAGCCGAUGGAUACUGCCGGACUAGAGUUCGGAAGAGGCGAGUGGAAUUCCUGGUGUAGCGGUGAAAUGCGCAGAUAUCAGGAGGAACACCUAUGGCGAGGGCAGCUCGCUGGGACGCAACUGACGCUGAGACGCGAAAGCGUGGGGAGCAAACAGG